AGUGAACGCUGGCGGUAGGCCUAACACAUGCAAGUCGAACGGCAGCACAGUAAGAGCUUGCUCUUACGGGUGGCGAGUGGCGGACGGGUGAGGAAUACAUCGGAAUCUACUUUUUCGUGGGGGAUAACGUAGGGAAACUUACGCUAAUACCGCACACGACCUACGGGUGAAAGCAGGGGAUCUUCGGACCUUGCGCGAUUGAAUGAGCCGAUGUCGGAUUAGCUAGUUGGCGGGGUAAAGGCCCACCAAGGCGACGAUCCGUAGCUGGUCUGAGAGGAUGAUCAGCCACAAUGGAAAUGAGACACGGUCCAGACUCCUAAGGGAGGCAGCAGUGGGGAAUAUUGGACAAUGGGCGCAAGCCUGAUCCAGCCAUACCGCGUGGGUGAAGAAGGCCUUCGGGUUGUAAAGCCCUUUUGUUGGGAAAGAAAAGCAGCAGGUUAAUACCCCGCUGUUCUGACGGUACCCAAAGAAUAAGCACCGGCUAACUUCGUG
rnacentral:rRNA from 1 species